CCACGAGAUCCUUGGGUCCC
rnacentral:misc_RNA from 1 species